rnacentral:rRNA from 1 species
UGCGUAGCCGACCUGAGAGGGUGAACGGCCACACUGGGACUGAGACACGGCCCAGACUCCUACGGGAGGCAGCAGUAGGGAAUCUUCCGCAAUGGGCGAAAGCCUGACGGAGCAACGCCGCGUGAGUGAUGAAGGUUUUCGGAUCGUAAAGCUCUGUUGCCAGGGAAGAACGUCCGGUAGAGUAACUGCUACCGGAGUGACGGUACCUGAGAAGAAAGCCCCGGCUAACUACGUGCCAGCAGCCGCGGUAAUACGUAGGGGGCAAGCGUUGUCCGGAAUUAUUGGGCGUAAAGCGCGCGCAGGCGGCCAUUUAAGUCUGGUGUUUAAUCCCGGGGCUCAACCCCGGGUCGCACUGGAAACUGGGUGGCUUGAGUGC